rnacentral:ncRNA from 1 species
AACGACCGGCUGGACACCCAUGUAUCCAGCCCACAAGUGGAGGCUCCGAUCUCCCACCUGACCGUCCUCCGGGAUGGCGGGUCACCCGGUCAGGCGGCCACCAUCGUUCCGUACGGACGAUGGAGUCGCCCGAAAUCGCGCCCCGCGAUCAUCGCGGCGGUGCUCCGGUAGUGUUUUGGAGCCCCGCUGGUGAUCGUCCGGGGCAUUUUUU